CAUUUUUAUUCUUUGCAUAAAAAAUCCUACAUCUAUCAAACAUUUCUUUAAUCUGGUGCCAGGAGUCAGUCUCUAUGUUAUAUUGAAGAUCCUGGGGAUCAUAAUGUUCUGCAGUGCAGUCUGCAUCUUUCAGUGCUGGUUUAGAUUAUCCAACAAACAAGAGAAGAAGGACACAGAUGAAGCAGAUGAUGUCAACAGAGUGAUGGAGGUUCAGGCAUCAUGAACCUCAAGG